AUGACUUGAUGAUGUCUCUCCCCAUUCCCUGUGCAUAUAUUUAUAGCUCAUAUUAGUUUACUUGGCAAAUCGGAUGUCAUCAAAUAUUACUUACAAAGCCAUACUGGAAAAUGCUAUCACAUACUUUUUCUUAUUGUGUUUAGCCAUCCUGGUAUUGUUAGAAACUUCAGAUUGUUGUCUCUCACUAUUUACACUGCCACCAAUACGCAAAGCCUUUGAAGUGUUUCCUCUUGACCUAAGCUGUUCUCCUGAGCUUCUAAAAUCACCUCCAAGAAAAUCACUUACCCUUCAAUUCUGGCCUGCUAAGUAGCUUUCUGAGAUUUUAGUUUACCUAAAAUAAAUGUGGUCUGUUCCCCAAAAGAAGCUGUGGUUUAUGAGACUUUUCUGUUGCUUGUUAAAGAGUCUUUGGUUUGUUUGAUCUUCCUGGUAGCUCAGUUGGUUAGGAACGACCUUCCCCAUGAAGAGGGUGGAGGAAUUCAAACAUGGAGAGUUGGAUACCUUUCUUGGUUGGGCUGGGUCAGCUUGUGUGACCUCACUAUGAUGUAUCCAAUGUUCCAGUCCUCCCCAGUGUUCUCUUUCCUGCUCUGAGUGUCACACGCUUACUUUCUCUGUGUCUUUGAGCAGGUGAUGCUCUCCCUUUGGACUCAGCUUGCCCCCUCUCCCACCAUGGGGAAGUUUUAGAAACCUCGUGCUAUUCCAGAAAACAACCUAGCUGACCACUUUGAUGCGUUAUGAACUUUCGACUGAGCUCAGUGAUCUCCUCCUGCUGCUGGCAGCACCCCCACCAUUACUUAGCACUGAGACAGGAGUCUUGCAUUGCUGUCCUCUGAGUGG
rnacentral:sRNA from 1 species